AUCGCUUCUCGGCCUUUUGGCUAAGAUCAAGUGUAAAAACUGUACUUCUAGGCUGGAGCGCUGACUCGGCAGUUAAGAGUGCUUGUUGCUCUCUCAGAGACCCCGAGUUUGGCUCUCAGUAUCCAUGCUGGGUGGCUCUAGCUCUA
rnacentral:snRNA from 14 species